ensembl:lncRNA
UAGCAUUUAUGACAUCCGUGUGGAGCAUUCAAAAGCAUUCCAAUGGAACCUCUCAGGUCAUCCAUCAGUUACUUUGAAAACAGGCAGAGCUCUGCCUUGUGACAUCUGGCCAAUCUCCGGACCACUUUGAUCUUAUAAUCAGGAACCCAUCUACCACAGCAGCCACAGCCUCCAUCACAGCUAGAUGCUGUUUCGAACAACCAUUCUGCAAUAAUAACAUUUCAGAUCCUUUCUACAGGAAGCCAUAAGUAUAGUAUACCCAUGUUUGCCUUCCAAGUAACCUCAGGUUGAGGUUGCAGGCCUCAUACGGAGGGAACCCAUUUGGGGGUCUGAGAAGAAAAAAAAAAGCCUCUGGUUGAAUGCAGCAUAAUCAUAUCUGUUCACAUUCUCAUAGCCAGAGAAAAUGACCUGGUUAAAUCCAAAAUUGAAAGGAGAAAUAUAUUCACUCUACAACAAGAAGCAGGUACCAGGGAUUGAACUCUGGUCCUUGUGCUUGCUCAGCAGACGGUGAAAUCACUGAGCUAAAUCCCUGGCCCCUCCUCUAACUUUUAAGUACUAUAUAAAAUAAAAUGAGGAGAAGGAUGAUAAUGAGGUAGCUUAGUCAAGCAUUUGAGGAUUUGUCUGCUGCCAACCAAGUUUUAGUUUCCUACCUUUGCAGCCUACUGUAUUUGAGAAUUGAGAAUGGAUUCAUAGAGGAAAAAUACACAAAACCAGGAGCAGAUAUCUGUUUGGUGUGAUGCAGGGUAUUUGAUUUUCCUUCUGAGAGAUCCAAUAAGCAGCUGAGGAGAUAAAUAUAGUCUAGGAGAGAGUGGCUGGGGACUUCUUCUGUUUGAUUAGCCAUUUCUCUUGUCGGUGUAUGGCAUAUGGCACCACAGGUGCAGCUAUAACUGCUUUGUUUUCUACUUUCUCUAGAUAGCCUCAUUACUGGAGAAAUGUAAUAAACCCUUUGUUUCCCUGGGAGCUAUCCUAUCCUUCACUUUCAACAGCACUUGAGAGUUCUUCAAAAUUUCCAAAGGAAAACUUACAGCCUAAUAGAUUUCUCAGCUCACACAUCCAAGCAAAACCAGCAGCCAUGUAAGACAAGUGUUUCCUCGUAGGAAUUAGAUCCAGCAAGUCAACUACAACAGGAUGCCUAUUUAACCAAAGCUGUCAACAUGGGCAAAGAAUCCUUCAUGUCAUUAAGCGCCCAAAACAUGGUUCUAUGAGAAAUGCCUCUAUACAACCUAUGGGACUUCCUGAGCAUAAUGCCCGACUCCUCAAUUACAAAGCAAACAACACCAAAAGAUUAAAUUCUAGAAAAUUUGCAGAGAUGAAGACAGUCAGAAUACUAUAACAGGAAGAGUAAACCAAAAACAGAGGCAAAAAGUAAUAUUCCUGCAUGCAAUGUUUUUAAUUUCCAAGGAUUAAAGAUAGUUCUAUAUAAGCGACUGCAUAUAUGCUUUUAGGAAGAACCCUCCUUGAUAUUAGUAUCUUCAUUUAGUUCUCUUCUGAUUUGAAAUCCAGGGUAAAACACAUAAUGAAAGGCUGAAGCAGAAACAGCAUAUACACUUUACAUAGCUUACUGCUUUUCCUCAAAUACUACAUGGAAAAGAGAGACCAGGAAGAAAAAAAGAAAUAGCAGGACUAAAAAAUGAGACAAAAUUCUUUAGUAUAGUUAGCUAAGUAUUCCAGUUUGAGGUUUCAGUUUUUUUAAACUAACAUUCAGCUUCAGAUUUAAAGAUCUAUGUAUUAACAUCUUCCCAACCCACAGAGAAUCAUAAACCAGCUGUCCUCUACAGUAACAUCUCUCCCCUCUGUCCCUGCCUCUGCACCAUGCAUGGAACACACAGAUGUGCACACAGAAGUUCCUGCUGGCCUUCACCACCCAGUCAGGAGGAGAGACCCUGACCUCUAGUCUCCUGUCCUCCCAGCACGCUAGGUUGCUGCAAGCGCUUGUAAGUUGGAGGAGGAUCGUGGAAGAUCUUGAGGCCAGAUGGAUGACACUCCUGCCAGUCACUCAUCAAAACAGUUCUAGAGAUCACGGAGCAGAAACUAUAGUCACUGGAUAUCAAUUGGAAAAAUAAUCCCCCUAUUAAGUCCCUGAGCACAAGAAAUGGACAGUAUUUGGUGGCUGGAGUACAGCAUAAGGAAAUAAUCAGAAAUCUGGGCAAAGAAUUAUGUACCAAGAAGUUCACAGAAGCAUUAUUUAAAAUUGCAAAACAAGUAAAAACAAGUUGGAUUCAAACCAAAUGGCCCCAAAGAGGAAAUGAUUAAAUAAGAUGGGCUAUUAAACAGACAUUGAAUAUUAUGUUUUCAGAAUAUAUUUAAUUAAAUGGAAAAAUACAUACAAUAUAGUGUAAAGUUUUUAAAAAACAUACAAAACCAUAUGGGUAGUAUGUUUUAAAUCUGUGUCAAAAGUGCUAUGUCGAAAAUAAGCUGAGACUUGUGAAAAAUACUUAGGACAAUAUAAAGUACUUUUCCAUCAUAUUUGAAUCAAUGAGAAAAGACAGGCAAGGAACAGGCCUAUUGUUUGGGGGAGAAGGCAAUUUGCUAACAGCCAAUAGAAUUUUUUCCCAGCAAGGAAAAAUGACUUUCAAGUUCUCAAAAGAGAG